UACGGAGGGUGCAAGCGUUAAUCGGAAUUACUGGGCGUAAAGGGCGCGUAGGCGGCCUGCUAAGUCGAACGUGAAAUCCCCGGGCUCAACCCGGGAACUGCGUCCGAUACUGACAGGCUUGAAUCCGGGAGAGGGAAGUGGAAUUCCCGGUGUAGUGGUGAAAUGCGUAGAUAUCGGGAGGAACACCAGUGGCGAAGGCGACUUCCUGGCCUGUUCUUGACGCUGAGGCGCGAAAGCUAGGGGAGCAAACGGG
rnacentral:rRNA from 1 species